rnacentral:rRNA from 1 species
GGCCUAACACAUGCAAGUCGAACGGGACUGGGGGCAACUCCAGUUCAGUGGCGGACGGGUGCGUAACACGUGAGGAACAUGACUUUCGGCGGGGGAUAGCCGGCCCAACGGCCGGGUAAUACCGCGUACGACCUUUCGGGGACAUCCCCGGUUGGUGAAAGCAGCAAUGCACCGAAAGAGUGCCUCGCGGCCUAUCAGCUAGUUGGUGGGGUAAUGGCUCACCAAGGCGACGACGGGUAGCUGGUCUGAGAGGAUGGCCAGCCACAUUGGGACUGAGACACGGCCCAGACUCCUACGGGAGGCAGCAGUGGGGAAUAUUGCGCAAUGGGCGAAAGCCUGACGCAGCGACGCCGCGUGUGGGAUGACGGCCUUCGGGUUGUAAACCACUGUCGGGAGGGACGAAUGCCCCGCAAGGGGAGUGACGGUACCUCCAAAGGAAGCACCGGCUAACUCCGUGCCAGCAGCCGCGGUAAUACGGAGGGUGCGAGCGUUGUCCGGAAUCACUGGGCGUAAAGGGCGCGUAGGCGGCCUGAUAAGUAGGGGGUGAAAUCCUGCGGCUUAACCGCAGGGCUGCCUUCUAAACUGUCGGGCUCGAGCACAGUAGAGGCAGGUGGAAUUCCCGGUGUAGCGGUGGAAUGCGUAGAGAUCGGGAAGAACAUCAGUGGCGAAAGGCGGCCUGCUGGGCUGUUGCUGACGCUGAGGCGCGACAGCG